GUUAGACAUGUAACGUGUUGGGUAUAGCGUUCGGUACAGUCUGGAGUCAUGUACGUAGAAGAUUGAGUUAGUUAGUUAGGAGUCCUCUCUUAUCUCUCUAUCUCUCUAUCUCAUGUAACCUCCCGUGUAAUCCUCUCUAUGGUUAGCCAGAGGCUGCCGCACCUUGUACCGAACCCUCCCAAUCAAUAAAUACAUCGCGGGUCUCCUUGUAUGGAGAUUGAGACGCUUCAUCAUACUUUGAAAUGGUAUACAGAGCAGGCCUCUUCCAUCUCAUCUAGCAUAUCAUCUUCAACCUCCCACCCACCCAUCGCAUCCCUGUUCAUCUUCCACCUUCCCACCGCCGCCAUCCAUCAUGUCCACCUCCACUGCCCAAAUUUCCUCUGGCCUAAACUACAACACCUCCGAGCCGCUCACCCGGACGAACUAUGUUCUCUGGAGAGCGCAAGCGCGAUCCCAGAUACUGGGCGCUGGCUUGUAUGGCUAUAUCGAUCAAACCAUCCAGGAGCCUCCCAAAACAAUCACAACCAAAGAUAAAGAGGGCAAGGACCAGGUCGUCCCCAACCCUGCAUAUGCUCCCUGGCUAGUCCAGGACCAGCAGAUCGUCGCUUAUCUUCUCCGAAAUCUCUCCAAGGAGGUUCUCGUUCAGGUUGCCUCCCUUGAAACCUCUCACGCGAUCUGGACUGCUCUUGCAUCUAUGUUUGCAGCUGUCUCAUUAUCACGUGCCAACAAUCUUCGCGCCGCUCUCACCAAUGCCCAGAAGGGCUCGCUGUCGGCCUCGGCAUACUUCGGCCACAUGCGCUCCCUCUCCGAUGAACUCGCGGCGGCGGGCAGAGCUCUCGGGGAGGGGGAGAUCAUCUCCUUCAUCAUCGCAGGCCUUGACAUGGACUACCAACCGAUCAUAUCGACACUGGACGUUCGCGUUGAACCCAUCACAGUCGACGCCCUCUUCUCCAUGGUGGCCAACUUCGACCAGAGGGUCGAGAUGUUCCACGGGAACGGCGCCGGGGGCUUCAAAUCCUUGGCCAAUCUCGCCUCUCGAGGGCGUGGCGGCGGCAAGGGCUCCUACCGCAACCAGAAGGGCAGUGGUGGCUCGCGUGGUGGCUACGGUGCCAGCAGCGGUGGUGGCGACUACAAUCCUGGCGGCGGCUACAACCUUGGCGGCGGCUCUGCCGCUGGACACGGUGCCGGAAACGGUGGCGGUCAUCAUGGCGGAUACCCUGAUGGUGGCGGCGGCUACUAUCAUGGGGGUGGUGGCGGCGGCCACCACCAACAGCACCCUGACGGCAACAACAACAGGCGGGCUCCUCCUAACAGAGGGAGAGACUUCCAGGGCUAUGAAGGUUAUGAGGGUAAAUGUCAAAUAUGCAAAAAAAACUAAUCAUCUUGCUCGAGAUUGUGCUUGGCGUUACGCUGAGAAGAAUUCUCAGCCUAAGAAAGUUGCAGCUGCCGCCGAUGCCUCGUAUGGUGUCGAUACAAAUUGGUACAUGGACACAGGGGCAACAAACCACAUCACGGGAGAAUUGGAGAAAUUAACCAUGCAUGAAAAGUACCGUGGCAAUGAUCAAGUUUACACCGCUGCAAACGGUGCAGGUAUGGAAAUUAGUCAUAUUGAUAAAUCACUUAUCAGAACCCCACACAAAAAUCUUGAGCUAAACAGAAUCCUGCAUGUCCCUAAUGCUUCCAAAACUUUGCUAUCUGUUCAUAGAAUUGCUCUUGACAACAAUGUUUUUCUAGAGUUUCACCCGUUCUUCUUUUUGAUCAAGGAUCAGGAUCAGGUCUGUGUGCAAGGGCUCUAUGCUUUGCUUCCUCAAUAUUGUCAGUUCAAUAAACAAGUGUACGGUGCCAUCAAGCUCUCUGCUGAAAGGUGGCAUAGUCGUUUAGGUCAUCCUUCUUUUGCCACUGUUCAUCAAAUUCUUGGUAGAAAUAAACUCCCAGUUGUUGGUGAGCGAGAUUCUGAAACUAUUUGUGAUUCAUGUCAACGAGCAAAAAGUCAUCAAUUGCCUUAUCCUGUAUCAACUAGUGUGUCAACCAAACCUUUGCAACUGAUUUUUUCUGAUGUAUGGGGUCCAGCACCCACAUCUGUUGGUAGACAUUCCUAUUACAUUAGUUUCAUUGAUGACUAUAGCAAAUAUACGUGGAUCUAUCUUCUUAAGAAACGUGCUGAUGUGUUUCAAGUCUUUCACAACUUUCAAGCACUUGUUGAACGAAAGUUUAAUAGCAAAAUUAUUGUUGUGCAGUCAGACUGGGGUGGUGAGUAUGAGAAACUCAACUCCUUUCAAAAAAUUGGAAUCUCUCGUCACGUUUCAUGCCCUCAUGCUCACCAGCAAAACGGCUCUGCCAAGCGCAAGCACAGACACAUUGUUGAAGUAGGUCUAGCCAUCCUAGCUUCAGCUUCCAUGCCAUUAAAAUUCUGGGAUGAAGCCUUUCUUACCGCCGUUCACCUCAUUAAUAUGUGGCCUAGUCGAGUCAUUUCCAAUGAAACUCCAACUAAACGGCUUUUGAUGUCACACCGGAUUACACCACUCUUCGAGUCUUUGGUUGUGCCUGUUGGCCCAACCUUCGACCCUACAACACCCGUAAGCUUAUGUAUCGCUCCAAACAGUGCGCGUUCCUUGGCUAUAGUAUACAACACAAGGGUGUUAAAUGUCUUGAUGUGUCCACCGGUCGUGUUUACAUAUCUCGUGAUGUCGUUUUUGACGAGACACAAUUUCCUUUCGCUAAACUCCACCCAAACGCCGGUGCUCUUCUCAGAAAGGAAAUCCUCCUCCUUCCUCCUCAUCUUUCCAGGGUUGAUCGUGUGGGUCAUGAUACUAGUGAUGAAUCAAUUUUGACUAAUUCUCCUGACAUACCCUCUGAAUUUUCUGAUACAGGGCGACACAACAGUGCAACUUCUGGUACAGAUGACGGUGUUUUUAUUCCUAUUAUUGCACCCCGGGCUGUUGCAGCAGAUCCCACCGGAUCCUCCUCGGGAUCGGUGUGUCAGCCCGCGCCCGCACGGACUGAAUCAGCAACGGGAUCCGCGCCUCCGAAUCAGCGCCCCUCCGAUCCCGCCACGCGGUCGACCGCGCCCGAGCUGGUCUCCUCAGGUGCGACCCGCCAAUCGCCUUCGGGAGACACUCCGACUGAGCGCUACGCACCCACCCCGCUGGUCUAUUCCAGGCGGGCCCCGUCAUCCACUAUCCCGCAUGCAGCCGGGCCAGGUGGGCCUGGUGCGCGUCCCGAGUCUGCUCCGGUCGGGCGCCCUGGAUCUUCUGUGUGUCCUGGGCUGUCAUCAUCAUCAUCUCCCGCCGCAGAAGAUCCGGUAUCUGCCUCGUCACCAGCCGGGUCCCCUGCCUCCGGAUCGCCUGCCUCGGGAUCGCUGGAUCCUCCUGUUCAGGAGCAGGUUGCCUCUCCUGGAUCAUCUGUGGCUGUGCCAGCGCCCCCUUCACCACCCCGUACACGUCUUCGAGAUGGUACAAUUCAACCGGUUCAUUACAAAACUAAGUUUGGUUUGGCCGUGUCACCUGUUUCUGCAGAAGAGCCACGCACUGUCUCCGCUACACUUGCUGAUCCGAAGUGGGCCAAAGCCAUGCAUGAGGAAUUUUGUGCUCUUCAGCAAAACCACACGUGGCAUCUUGUUCCUUCAUGUCCAGGUCUUAAUGUCAUUCACUGUAAGUGGGUUUUCCGUAUCAAAUGACGGUCAGAUGGUACUAUUGAUCGUUACAAAGCUAGAUUGGUUGCCAAAGGUUUCAAACAGAGGUAUGGGCUUGAUUAUGAGGACACUUUCAGUCCUGUUGUUAAAGCUGCUACUAUUCGUCCUGUCCUAUCCAUUGCUGUGUCAUGAGGUUGGAGUCUUCGCCAGCUAGAUGUCAAGAAUGCGUUUCUUCAUGGUGUUCUGGAAGAGGAAGUCUACAUGAAGCAACCUCCUGGUUUUGCGGACCCAGACAAACCAACUCAUAUCUGCCGGCUUGACAAAUCACUUUAUGGUCUGAAACAGGCUCCCCGAGCAUGGUAUUCUCGCUUGAGUUCCAAGUUGCAAACCCUUGGCUUUGUUUACUCUAAAUCUGACACCUCUCUGCUUAUCUACAAUAAAUGCAAUACAGUAUAUUUGUGCUCAUUUAUGUUGAUGAUAUUAUUGUCACAAGCUCAUCUGCUGAGGCAGUUACAGCUCUGCUCAAAGACUUGAAAUCUGAGUUUGCUCUAAAAGAUCUUGGUGACUUGCACUAUUUUCUUGGCAUUGAGGUCAAACGCAAUACUGAAGGUGGUCUUCAUCUCUCUCAAGAAAAGUAUGCAACUGAUCUUCUGAGCAAGGCCGGGCUCCAAGGUUGUAAACCAUCCACAACUCCAUUAUCCAGUUCUGAGAAAUUGUCACUUGUGGAGGGUACACCUUUGAGUCAUGAGGAUAGCACAAAAUACAGGAGCUUGGUAGGUGCACUUCAGUACUUGACACUUACUAGGCCUGACAUCUCCUUUGCAGUAAAUAAAGUGUGUCAGUUUCUUCAUGCACCCACUUCUAGUCAUUGGACUGCUACUAAACGUAUACUGAGAUAUGUCAAGCAUACUCUAAGUGUUGGUCUCACCUUCACUAAGUCAUCUUCCACUCUAGUCAGUGCAUUUUCUGACUCUGAUUGGGCAGGCUGCUUGGAUGAUAGAAGAUCGACAGGUGGUUUUGCAGUGUUUUAUGGACCUAAUCUAAUUUCAUGGUGUGCAAAGAUGCAGGCAACAGCAGAAAUUAUAUGGGUUAAGGCUAUCAUCAAUGAACUUGGCAUAUGUCAUACACAGACUCCAUGCCUUUGGUGUGACAAUUUGGGUGCUACAUAUCUCUCUACAAAUCCUGUCUUUCAUGCCCGUACCAAGCACAUUGAGAUUGAUUACCACUUUGUGAGAGAAAGAGUUGCAAGGAAAGAAUUGGAAGUACGGUUUGUGCCAUCCAGAGACCAAGUUGCUGAUGGAUUUACAAAGGCCUUGUCUACAGGACCAUUUGAAGAAUUUAAACGUAAUCUGAACUUGCGGAGUUCAGAUUAAGGGAGAGUGUUAGACAUGUAACAUGUUGGGUAUAGCGUUCGGUACAGUCUGGAGUCAUGUACGUAGAAGAUUGAGUUAGUUAGUUAGGAGUCCUCUCUUAUCUCUCUAUCUCUCUAUCUCAUGUAACCUCCCGUGUAAUCCUCUUUAUGGUUAGCCAGAGGCUGCCGCACCUUGUACCGAACCCUCCCAAUCAAUAAAUACAUCGCGGGUCUCCUUGUAUGGAGAUUGAGACGCUUCAUCAUACUUUGACACUCCAGAGAGUGUCGAUCCACAGAGGGGUCUUCUUCAGACAUGGUGCAUACAGCAGCAGUAGCAGCAGCAGCAUCGAUCCAUCGUCUUGGACUGCAACAACGCAAAGAGAAAAGAAAGCUUACUCGAAUUACUCCAAUACUCCUCCAUCAUGUACAACAAGCAAGCAUACAACAAGCAAAAAUCUUCUUUUGUUCCCUACAAAUGUACAGCAAGCAAUCAAGUUACCUACAAAUGUACAGCAAGCAAGAAUGCAAGCAAGUCACUAGAGCAGUACUCCUUUUGUUCCCUUUGUUCCUCACAAGCAAAAAAGCAGAUCUGAAGCACAAGCACAAGCUUUAGUGAGCUCGGUAAAACUUCACUACUUGCACAUCACUAGAAGCAUAUGUCAAUGGAGUAAAAUUCAGUAAACAUCACAAGGAGCAGCCAAAAGUUCACAGGAAAAAUUCAGUGAACAGCACUGCAAGCAAAAUUCAGUAAUGUUUACUCCAUCACAAGAACUUUACUGGACUUGAGCUCCAUCAUAACUUCACAAGAUCUAAAGCAGCAGCAUCACUAGAGCAGAACUACUACACCAACACCAUCACUAGAGCAGAAAUACAGUAGCAUCAUCGGAGCAGAACCACUCCAUCGCAGCAUCACUUAAGUAGCAGCAUCAGUACAGAGGACAAGCACAAGGACUCACCGUCGUGGUAGUGGCCGCCAUAGUUGCUCCUCCCGCCGCUACAGUGCCGUCAACCGCUUCAGAUCCAGCGCCACCGCCGCUGCUAUGGUGCCCGCUUCAGAUCCAGCGCAGCCGCCGUUGCUAUGGUGCCCGCUUCAGAUACAGCGCCGCCGCCGCCUCCGCACAAGUACCCAUCGCCGCUUCAGAUGUGCCGGAGUAAAAAAAAGCAAUCUUUGGAAGAGAGGCGACGACACCAGACGAGCAAAGGGGACGACGCCAUCUUUGGAGGGGAGAGGAGACGCCGGCUAGAGGGAGGCUCGACGACGCCGGCGAGAGGGAGUCGGCGGCGACGACGCCGGGGAGGAGUGGGUGAGCUAGGGAUUUGGGGCUGUCGGAGAGAGGAACGCGAGAGGAGUGGGAGCUGUCCCGAGACGAGAGGAGAGGGAGCGGUCGCGAGGGCAAAAGUGGAAAC
rnacentral:lncRNA from 1 species